CCAAUCUCUGCUAAAUAUUGGAGUAAAAUUGUGAUUUUUCUCUAUUUUGGCAUAUACACACAUACAAGGUGUUUGUAAUGUGUAUUUCGUAAAGCUGGUGUGUGCUAUUCCGGCACAGAACCCCAUAUUGGGUUCAAUUUGAGAAAGCGGAUAUCCCAGGGUAUCAUAUAUGGCGUAUAUUGUGCCUUACCGUGUCACUAUUUUUUCACCAGUUUAUGUCAGUUUGUGGUGAGGAGGAAAAAAAAUUGAAUUUUUUUUACAUACAUGCUGCAUUUUUGCUGGGUAUUUCUUACACUUGAUAUGUGCCACGGUCAUAAAAUUCCCCAAAUUAUGCUCAGUUACAUCUUCUGAGUAAAACAAUAUGCCCAAUGUAUGACCUAGACACUAUUUCGUGAAGUUACAGUGCUGUAAAAGAGACGUGACAAGUUCAGGUUUUUAAGUGUGAAUUUUCAUGGAGGGUUUUGAUGCAUCCGUGUCCAGGCUACAUAUUCCAACUACACCAUAAAGGCUUACCAUUUCUUAAAGAAUACGUCCCAGGGGACUUCAAAAGGCAUAUUUUGAACCUUGGCAUGGGAUAAUUUUUCUG